GGCUCCGCCGCGAGGAGCAGGAGUCUGGGAAGCAGCAAGUGGCUUCUUCCCGCAUCAGACAGCGCAGGGUGGGCUGCCGUCAGCCUCAGCAGGCCCGGGCAGGCCUCGUGAGAAUGUAGGACGUAAGCGUUUUGGGAGGUUCGCAAAGCGGACUGCGGAGCCCCUGCCUGCAGCUUUGGUCUGCGCCCUGGCUCCGGCCUUACUUGUGUUUCCCCCACAAGAAUGGCUUCCCCCAGCCUUUCCUGAUGUUGGUGAGGUUUGGACGUAUUAGUAAUAUUGUUAUUUUUCUUACUAUCAUCAUCAUUUUGAGAGUCCACUGCGUAUAAGCAUUGGUGGUCCUGCGCAGGGCGCCAUGCAGAAAGCCAUGAGUUAGAAGCUGGAGGAAGGAGGGCUUAUAGAUGCUUGAGGACUGUCCUUAAACCAGCAUGAAAUGCUGGAGGUUGAGGUGAAAAACAUGGCUUUGAUAUCUUCAUGGAAGACUGCAUUAUUUCAUCCCUGAAUCUGGUUCAGUUCCCUUAUUGACUUAUUACUGUGUUAAAAUGCUUGUUUAGCAGAUUGUAAAAUAAAUUAACAUGUACAUGCUGUCUUGGGGCAGACUAAGGGAAAACAGGUAUUCAGCCUAGGAAAAUGUUGCUCGUUGGAUUUCCUAUUAAGUCAGUAUGUCUUGGGUUUAACUUUGAAACAAAUUAAAAAAUUUAAAUAUU